CCUACGGGUGGCAGCAGUGAGGAAUAUUGGUCAAUGGGCGAGAGCCUGAACCAGCCAAGUAGCGUGAAGGAUGACUGCCCUACGGGUUGUAAACUUCUUUUAUAAAGGAAUAAAGUGAGGCACGUGUGCCUUUUUGUAUGUACUUUAUGAAUAAGGAUCGGCUAACUCCGCGCCAGCAGCAGCGGUAAUACGGAGGAUCCGAGCGUUAUCCGGAUUUAUUGGGUUGAAAGGGAGCGUAGAUGGGUUGUUAAGUCAGUUGUGAAAGUUUGGGGCUCAACCGUAAAAUUGCAAUUGAUACUGGCAGCCUUGAGUGCAGUAGAGGUAGGCGGAAUUCGUGGUGUAGCGGUGAAAUGCUUAGAUAUCACGAAGAACUCCGAUUGCGAAGGCAGCUUACUAAACUGCCACUGACAUUGAUGCUCGAAAGUGUGGGUAGCAAACAGGAUUAGAUACCCGAGUAGUC
rnacentral:rRNA from 1 species